rnacentral:rRNA from 1 species
AGCGCAUCCUUCGGGAUGAGCGGCGGACGGGUGAGUAACGCGUGGGAAUGUGCCCUUCUCUACGGAAUAGCCACUGGAAACGGUGAGUAAUAUCGUAUACGCCCUCAGGGGGAAAGAUUUAUCGGAGAAGGAUCAGCCCGCGUUAGAUUAGGUAGUUGGUGGGGUAACGGCCUACCGAGCCUACGAUCUAUAGCUGGUUUUAGAGGAUGAUCAGCCACACUGGGACUGAGACACGGCCCAGACUCCUACGGGAGGCAGCAGUAGGGAAUCUUGGACAAUGGGGGCAACCCUGAUCCAGCCAUGCCGCGUGAGUGAAGAAGGCCUUAGGGUCGUAAAGCUCUUUCGCCUGUGAUGAUAAUGACAGUAGCAGGUAAGGAAACCCCGGCUAACUCCGUGCCAGCAGCCGCGGUAAUACGGAGGGGGUUAGCGUUGUUCGGAAUUACUGGGCGUAAAGCGCGCGUAGGCGGAUUGGAAAGUUGGGGGUGAAAUCCCGGGGCUCAACCCCGGAACUGCCUUCAAAACUCCCAGUCUAGAGUUCGAGAGAGGUGAG